GCCCCUGUAGCUCAGGUGGAUAGAGCACCAGCCUCCGGAGCUGGGAGCGCGCGUUCGAGUCGCGCCAGGGGUA
rnacentral:tRNA from 1 species